rnacentral:rRNA from 1 species
UAUUGGACAAUGGGGGCAACCCUGAUCCAGCCAUGCCGCGUGGGUGAAGAAGGCCUUUUGGUUGUAAAGCACUUUAAGCAGUGAAGAAAACUCUAUGUUUAAUACCCAUAGACGAUGACAUUAGCUGCAGAAUAAGCACCGGCUAACCCUGUGCCAGCAGCCGCGGUAAUACAGAGGGUGCAAGCGUUAAUCGGAAUUACUUGGCGUAAAGCGAGCGUAGGUGGCUUAAUAAGUAAGAUGUGAAAUCCCCGGGCUUAACCUGGGAACUGCAUCUGAUACUGUUGGGCUAGAGUAGGUGAGAGGGAGGUAGAAUUUCAGGUGUAGCGGUGAAAUGCGUAGAGAUAUGAAGGAAUACCGAUGGCGAAGGCAGCCUCCUGGCAUCAUACUGACACUGAGGUUCGAAAGCGUGGGUAGCAAACAG